UACGUAGGGGGCCAGCGUUGUUCGGAAUUACUGGGUGUAAAGGGUUCGUAGGCGGUGCGGCAAGUUGGGAGUGAAAUCUCUGGGCUCAACCCAGAGACGGCUUCCAAAACUGCUGUGCUUGAGUGUGAGAGAGGCUCGUGGAAUUGCAGGUGUAGCGGUGAAAUGCGUAGAUAUCUGCAGGAACACCCGUGGCGAAAGCGGCGAGCUGGAUCACUACUGACGCUGAAGAACGAAAGCUAGGGGAGCAAACGGG
rnacentral:rRNA from 1 species